rnacentral:piRNA from 1 species
UUGACCUCUGAUGAGCCAGCCUGGAA